rnacentral:rRNA from 1 species
GGACUACUGGGGUAUCUAAUCCUGUUUGAUUCCCACACUUUCGUGCUUCAGUGUCAGUCCUGACCUGGUAUGCUGCCUACGCUAUUGGAGUUCUUCGUAAUAUCUAUGCAUUUCACCGCUACACUACGAAUUCCGCAUACCUCGUCCAGUCUCAAGUCCCGCAGUUUCAACGGCAAUGUUGACGUUAAGCGUCAAGAUUUCACCGCUGACUUACAAAACCACCUACGCACCCUUUAAACCCAAUAAAUCCGGAUAACGCUCGCAUCCUCCGUAUUACCGCGGCUGCUGGCAC